UACGGAGGGUGCAAACGUUGCUCGGAAUCAUUGGGCGUAAAGCGCACGUAGGCGGCCUGUUAAGUCGGGUGUGAAAUCCCUGGGCUCAACCCAGGAAGUGCACUCGAAACUGGCAGGCUUGAGUACUGAAGAGGGUCGCGGAAUUCCCGGUGUAGAGGUGAAAUUCAUAGAUAUCGGGAGGAACACCAGUGGCGAAGGCGGCGACCUGGGCAGAUACUGACGCUGAGGUGCGAAAGCGUGGGGAGCAAACAGG
rnacentral:rRNA from 1 species